rnacentral:rRNA from 1 species
GACGAACGCUGGCGGCGUGCCUAACACAUGCAAGUCGAGCGGAGAUAUAUGGAAGGUUUACCGGAAAUAUAUCUUAGCGGCGGACGGGUGAGUAACGCGUGGGCAACCUGCCUCAUACAGGGGGAUAACACAGGGAAACUUGUGCUAAUACCGCAUGAAAUCAUAGUAUGGCAUCAUACAAUGAUCAAAGGAGCAAUCCGGUAUGAGAUGGGCCCGCGUCCGAUUAGCUAGUUGGUGAGGUAACGGCUCACCAAGGCGACGAUCGGUAGCCGAACUGAGAGGUUGAUCGGCCACAUUGGGACUGAGACACGGCCCAGACUCCUACGGGAGGCAGCAGUGGGGAAUAUUGGACAAUGGGGGCAACCCUGAUCCAGCAAUACCGCGUGAGUGAAGAAGGCCUUCGGUUGUAAGACGUCUUUACCGGGUAAGGAUAAUGACGGUACCCGGGGAAGUAAGACUCCGGCUAACGUUACGUUGCCAGCAGCCGCGGUAAACGAUAACUCGUA